GAAAAAAAAAAAAAAUUUUUUUUUAUUUUAUCUUUUUAUCUUUUAAAUUUUUGGUCUUAUUUUUAAUCGAAGGGCAGAAAAUUGUCACGAAGAAAAGGCGCGAUUUUGAACAGGCCAAAAAAAAAAUUAAAAAAAAUUAAAAAAAAAAAUUUUUAAUUUAAUUUUUUUUAAUA
rnacentral:ribozyme from 1 species